ACUCCUACGGGAGGCAGCAGUGAGGAAUAUUGCACAAUGGGCGAAAGCCUGAUGCAGCAACGCCGCGUGGAGGAUGACGCAUUUCGGUGUGUAAACUCCUUUUAUAAGAGAAGAAAAUGACGGUAUCUUAUGAAUAAGUCCCGGCUAACUCCGUGCCAGCAGCCGCGGUAAUACGGAGGGGACAAGCGUUAUUCGGAAUCACUGGGCGUAAAGGACGCGUAGGCGGGUUAUUAAGUCGGGUGUGAAAUCCAAUGGCUCAACCAUUGAACUGCAUUCGAAACUGAUAACCUAGAGUAUGGAAGGGGCAGGUGGAAUUAGUGGUGUAGGGGUAAAAUCCGUAGAUAUCACUAGGAAUACCGAAAGCGAAGGCGACCUGCUGGGACAUUACUGACGCUGAGGCGUGAAAGCGUGGGGAGCAAACAGGAUUAGAUACCCUGGUAGUCCACGCCCUAAACGAUGAAUGCUAGUCGUCGGGGAGCUCGUCUCUUCGGUGAUGCACUUAACAGAUUAAGCAUUCCGCCUGGGGAGUACGGUCGCAAGAUUAAAACUCAAAGGAAUAGACGGGGACCCGCACAAGUGGUGGAGCAUGUGGUUUAAUUCGAAGAUACGCGAAGAACCUUACCUAGCCUUGACAUUGAUUGAAUUUUCCAGAGAUGGAGAAGUGCCUUUCGGGGAACAUGAAAACAGGUGCUGCACGGCUGUCGUCAGCUCGUGUCGUGAGAUGUUGGGUUAAGUUCCCGCAACGAGCGCAACCUCGUCGUAGUGCUAACAGUUAAGCUGAGCACUCUACGAGACUGCCUUCCCAAGGAGGAGAAGGUGAGACGACGUCAGUCAUCUGCCCUUAUGGCUAGGCUCACCACGUGCUACAUGGGCGUACAGAGAGUUGCAUCUCGCGAGUGGACACUUCUAAGGCUCUCCGUCGAAUGUUCGGCUCGAUGACUGAUCAUGAAUCGAUCACCAUGGAAGUUUCCGGACUGCAA
rnacentral:rRNA from 1 species